AGUCGAACGAACUUAACCAUUAGUUUACUAUUGGAGCGGUUAGUGGCGGACUGGUGAGUAACACGUAAGCAACCUGCCUAUCAGAGGGGAACAACAGUUAGAAAUGACUGCUAAUACCGCAUAUGCCUUGAGUAUCACAUGGUACAAAAGGGAAAGGAGCAAUCCGCUGAUAGAUGGGCUUGCGUCUGAUUAGAUAGUUGGUGAGGUAACGGCCCACCAAGUCGACGAUCAGUAGCCGGACUGAGAGGUUGAACGGCCACAUUGGGACUGAGAUACGGCCCAGACUCCUACGGGAGGCAGCAGUCGGGAAUAUUGCGCAAUGGAGGAAACUCUGACGCAGUGACGCCGCGUGCAGGAAGAAGGUUUUCGGAUUGUAAACUGCUUUAGACAGGGAAGAAACAAGACAGUACCUGUAGAAUAAGCCCCGGCUAACUACGUGCCAGCAGCCGCGGUAAUACGUAGGGAGCAAGCGUUAUCCGGAUUUAUUGGGUGUAAAGGGUGCGUAGACGGGAAAUUAAGUUAGUUGUGAAAUCCCUCGGCUUAACUGAGGAACUGCAACUAAAACUGAUUUUCCUGAGUGCUGGAGAGGAAAGUGGAAUUCCUAGUGUAGCGGUGAAAUGCGUAGAUAUUAGGAGGAACACCAGUGGCGAAGGCGACUUUCUGGACAGUAACUGACGUUGAGGCACGAAAGUGUGGGGAGCAAACAGGAUUAGAUACCCUGGUAGUCCACACCGUAAACGAUGGAUACUAGGUGUAGGGUGUGAUAAACAUUCUGUGCCGUCGCAAACGCAGUAAGUAUCCCACCUGGGGAGUACGGCCGCAAGGUUGAAACUCAA
rnacentral:rRNA from 1 species